UACGUAGGGGCAAGCGGUUGUCCGGAAUUAUUGGGCGUAAAGAGCGCGUAGGCGGUCCGAUAAGUCGGCUGUGAAAGUCAGGGGCUCAACCCUUGAAAGCCGGCCGAUACUGUCGGACUAGAGUCCGGAAGAGGCAAGUGGAAUUCCCGGUGUAGCGGUGAAAUGGCGCAGAUAUCAGGAGGAACACCGGUGGCGAAGGCGGGUCUCUGGGCCGUAACUGACGCUGAGGAGCGAAGCAUGGGAGCGAACAGGA
rnacentral:rRNA from 1 species